rnacentral:rRNA from 2 species
CGGGGGCCCGCACAAGCGGUGGAGCAUGUGGUUUAAUUCGAAGCUACGCGAAGAACCUUACCAGGUCUUGACAUCUUCUGCCAAUCUAAGAGAUUAGACGUUCCCUUCGGGGACAGAAUGACAGGUGGUGCAUGGUUGUCGUCAGCUCGUGUCGUGAGAUGUUGGGUUAAGUCCCGCAACGAGCGCAACCCUUAUUAUCAGUUGCCAGCAUUCAGUUGGGCACUCUGGUGAGACUGCCGGUGACAAACCGGAGGAAGGUGGGGAUGACGUCAAAUCAUCAUGCCCCUUAUGACCUGGGCUACACACGUGCUACAAUGGACGGUACAACGAGUCGCAAAGUCGCGAGGCUAAGCUAAUCUCUUAAAGCCGUUCUCAGUUCGGAUUGUAGGCUGCAACUCGCCUACAUGAAGUUGGAAUCGCUAGUAAUCGCGGAUCAGCAUGCCGCGGUGAAUACGUUCCCGGGCCUUGUACACACCGCCCGUCACACCAUGAGAGUUUGUAACACCCAAAGCCGGUGAGAUAACCUUCGGGAGUCAGCCGUCUAAGGUGGGACAGAUGAUUAGGGUGAAGUCGUAACAAG